rnacentral:rRNA from 1 species
UACGUAGGUGGCGAGCGUUGUCCGGAUUUAUUGGGUUUAAAGCGUGCGCAGGCGGUUUUGUAAGUCAGAUGUGAAAUCCCCGGGCUUAACCUGGGAACUGCGUUUGAAACUACAAGGCUAGAGUGUGACAGAGGGGGGUGGAAUUCCACGUGUAGCAGUGAAAUGCGUAGAGAUGUGGAGGAACACCGAUGGCGAAGGCAGCCCCCUGGGUUAACACUGACGCUCAGGCACGAAAGCGUGGGGAGCAAACAGG